GUCUUCGGUGCUCCAUUAAUAAGAGGGAGAUGUUCAAAAAUAACAAUUCUACUUGAUCAGCAAUAUUUCUCAAGAGAUUCACCAUAUCUAUUACCACCUGAAGGAAUUGGAGAAUGGCUGUAGUGAAGAAAAUUGGUGCAGAGAAAACUGGGAGGGGAAGUAGCUGAGCACUAUCUGCUACCCUCAAGGACCUUAGCAGACCAGCACCCUACAAGGACGCCUGGUUGUGUACUGCAAACACACAUUCCACAUUCAUUCAUUCUGCACAUCUUUAGUGUGGAAAAUGAUAUCAUGCACGCUAAUAUGACCCAAAUGCAUCAGUACAUCACUUACUAAUCUACUGAUAGUCACUCUCUGAAGAAUAAAAGUAGGAGCGUUUGCAACAGUCAAGAUAUAGAAGCCGCACAAGUGUCCGUCAAUAGAUGAACAAAUUCCAUAUACAAUGGAGUAUUACUCAGCCAUAAAAAGAAUGAAAUCUUGCCAUUUGCAAAAAUAUGGAUGUUGAAAUUUCUAGAAUUCCACAAUAUCUGUUAUU